CCUACGGGAGACAGCAGUGAGGAAUAUUGGUCAAUGGACGAGAGUCUGAACCAGCCAAGUAGCGUGAAGGAUGACUGCCCUAUGGGUUGUAAACUUCUUUUAUAUGGGAAUAAAAUGUUCCACGUGUGGGAUUUUGUAUGUACCAUAUGAAUAAGGAUCGGCUAACUCCGUGCCAGCAGCCGCGGUAAUACGGAGGAUCCGAGCGUUAUCCGGAUUUAUUGGGUUUAAAGGGAGCGUAGGUGGAUUGUUAAGUCAGUUGUGAAAGUUUGCGGCUCAACGGUAAAAUGGCAGUUGAAACUGGCAGUCUUGAGUACAGUAGUGGUGGGCGGAAUUCGUGGUGUAGCGGUGAAAGGCUUAGAGAGCACGAAGAACUCCGAUUGCGAAGGCAGCUCACUGGACUGCAACUGACACUGAGGCUCGAAAGUGUGGGUAUCAAACAGGAUUAGAUACCCGAGUAGUC
rnacentral:rRNA from 1 species